rnacentral:lncRNA from 1 species
UGUGCGAACACGGAGACAUCACUUCUUGAUCACCGAAGCUGAUUAAAGUUCACCUUCCGUCAGGACUGAAGGCUUCACUUCUUCUCCUGCUGCUGCUCUGGAUACAGAUUGAACAAGACGUGGUGUUUUCUCUGCUGCUUGGAUUGACUUCAUCACAGAACCGGCUGAAGAUUCACCCAGAACCAAAGCUAUUUUUAAUAGUUCUUCUUGUUCUCUGCUACUCUCACACUUUCUUUCUCAGUUGUAUUAUUCUUCUAACAAUAACCUUUCCAUCCCACAUUCUGCUCAGGAAACACAUUUUUCCUCCUGGACUUGUGAAGCUAAUCAUAUUUGUCUCUUUUUAGGUUUACUCCUGUCUCAGAGUCAUCUCCCAGACAUGUCUUCCUCAAAGAAACCCAACAGACACUAUCUCCUCUGCCCCGUUUGCUUGAAAACAAACGAAUCCCUGUCCGUUCAUCUCCGCCGUGUCUGCAUGAAGAAUGGUACACCGGAAGCCAUUAAUGCAGUGGUGGAGAAGGCCAAGAAAGAGGCCCACGCACUCCUGGUAUCUGGCAGAAUCUUCAACUACGGCCGACUUUGCCAGAUCAUGGCUGAUGCAAAUCCCCUCAAAAGGAUGAUUGAGGAGUUGCAGCGACUCCCUCCAACUCUGCCCGACCCAGUUCCAGGUCCAUCAACCACACAGCAACCACAGAGUGCUGAGCCUGAGGAGAGCGAACCUUCAUCUGACAUUGCUUUUGUGAGCAGUGGAGAGACCUUUCAAUGGUGAGUCCUACCUUCAUCUUUGUUUCCUUUGAUAUAUGAACUACAAGAAGAAUCAUCUUCCUGCUUGUGUCUCUUCAACCUGGAACAUAACAGGUCUUUUUAUAUAAAAUGCAUUUCCCAAAAUACAGUGUCCCAGACAUGCAGUGGCAGAGAAAGAACAGGAAGCU